rnacentral:rRNA from 1 species
UACCAGCUCUCCGAGUUGUAGGGAUGAUUAUUGGGCUUAAAGCGUCCGUAGCUGGCUUAGCAAGUCUCCUGUUAAAUUCAGCGACCUAAUCGUUGAGCCGCGGGAGAUACUACUAGGCUAGGAGGCGGGAGAGGUCGACGGUACUUUCGGGGUAGGGGUGAAAUCCUAUAAUCCCGGGAGGACCACCAGUGGCGAAGGCUGUCGACUAGAACGCGCUCGACGGUGAGGGACGAAAGCUGGGGGGAGCGAACCGGAUUAGAUACCCGGGUAGUCCCAGCUGUAAACUAUGCGGGCUAGGUGUUGGGGUGGCUACGGGCCACUUCAGUGCCGCAGGAAGCCAUUAAGCCCGCCGCCUGGGGAUACGGCCGCAAGGCUGAAACUUAAGGAAUUGGCGGGGGAGCACCACAAGGCGUGAAGCUUGCGGUUC